GACGAACGCUGGCGGCGUGCUUAACACAUGCAAGUCGAACGGAAAGGCCCUGCUUUUGUGGGGUGCUCGAGUGGCGAACGGGUGAGUAACACGUGAGUAACCUGCCCUUGACUUUGGGAUAACUUCAGGAAACUGGGGCUAAUACCGGAUAGGAGCUCCUGCUGCAUGGUGGGGGUUGGAAAGUUUCGGCGGUUGGGGAUGGACUCGCGGCUUAUCAGCUUGUUGGUGGGGUAGUGGCUUACCAAGGCUUGGACGGGUAGCAGGCCUGAGAGGGUGACCGGACACAUUGGGACGGAGAUACGGCCCAGACUCGUACGGGAGGCAGGAGAGGGGAAUAUUACACAAUGGGCGGAAGCCUGAUGCAGCAACGCCGCGUGCGGGAUGACGGCCAUCGGGUUGUAAACCGCUUUCGCCUGUGACGAAGCGUGAGUGACGGUAAUGGGUAAAGAAGCACCGGCUAACUACGUG
rnacentral:rRNA from 1 species